UUUUCCUCCCAGUUUCCGGGAGUUACCACCUCCUCCUCUGGAGCUAUUUGAUUUAGAUGAAACGUUCUCCUCCGAGAAGGCACGGCUGGCUCAGAUUACCAAUAAGUGAACAUGACAUCGAUACAAGUGAAACAGCAUUCCAGAACAAUUUCUGAAGACCAUGCCUCUUGAAGCUUUUUCUGCCUCCUGAUUCUCUCUUUGUAAACUAUUUUCAAAUUGUUUUUCAACUCCUUAUCAAAAUUGUUUAUACAGUCUUUCCUCCAUGAGCUCUGGAAGGUAUAUGCAUCUUCUGUAAUACUCAGAUAGGUAUAAGAUUUUUCACAAAAUCCUUAUGUAAGAUACAUUCCAUUUUUAAAAAUUAAAUGUAUGGUUGCAUCUGUCUUUUUAUACCCUAUGAAA
rnacentral:sRNA from 1 species